rnacentral:rRNA from 1 species
UGGGGAAUUUUGGACAAUGGGCGCAAGCCUGAUCCAGCCAUGCCGCGUGCGGGAAGAAGGCCUUCGGGUUGUAAACCGCUUUUGUCAGGGAAGAAAUCUUCUGGGUUAAUACCUCGGGAGGAUGACGGUACCUGAAGAAUAAGCACCGGCUAACUACGUGCCAGCAGCCGCGGUAAUACGUAGGGUGCAAGCGUUAAUCGGAAUUACUGGGCGUAAAGCGUGCGCAGGCGGUUAUGUAAGACAGAUGUGAAAUCCCCGGGCUUAACCUGGGAACUGCAUUUGUGACUGCAUAGCUAGAGUACGGUAGAGGGGGAUGGAAUUCCGCGUGUAGCAGUGAAAUGCGUAGAUAUGCGGAGGAACACCGAUGGCGAAGGCAAUCCCCUGGACCUGUACUGACGCUCAUGCACGAAAGCGUGGGGAGCAAACAGGAUUAGAUACCCUGGUAGUCCACGCCCUAAACGAUGUCGACUGGUUGUUGGGUCUUCACUGACUCAGUAACGAAGCUAACGCGUGAAGUUGACCGCCUGGGGAGUACGGCCGCAAGGUUG